GACGAACGCUGGCGGCGUGCUUAACACAUGCAAGUCGAACGGAAAGGCCCUGCUUGCAGGGUACUCGAGUGGCGAACGGGUGAGUAACACGUGGGUGAUCUGCCCUGCACUUCGGGAUAAGCCUGGGAAACUGGGUCUAAUACCGGAUAGGAGCCAUUUUUAGUGUGAUGGUUGGAAAGUUUUUUCGGUGUAGGAUGAGCUCGCGGCCUAUCAGCUUGUUGGUGGGGUAAUGGCCUACCAAGGCGGCGACGGGUAGCCGGCCUGAGAGGGUGGACGGCCACAUUGGGACUGAGAUACGGCCCAGACUCCUACGGGAGGCAGCAGUGGGGAAUAUUGCACAAGGGGCGCAAGCCUGAUGCAGCGACGCCGCGUGGGAGAUGACGGCCUUCGGGUUGUAAACUCCUUUCGCUAGGGACGAAGCUUUUUGUGACGGUACCUAGAGAAGAAGCACCGGCUAACUACGUG
rnacentral:rRNA from 1 species